UCUCGGCCAGAACAUCGGCAUGAGGUGGAACAACGUACGCAACUCUGCAGGGGACUGCAGGUGCCCAGAUGCUUAGCUGGGCUGCAUCAUGGAAGACACAGGAUACUAUCUACCCAGAAAGUUUUCUCGCUGCAGCGUUGAUGAGUACAUCCAGUUCUUGCUCCAGGGGG